rnacentral:rRNA from 1 species
ACGGCGAGUGAAGCGGCAACAGCUCAAAUUUGAAAUCUGGCCUCGGCCCGAGUUGUAAUUUGCAGAGGAUGCUUUUGGUGCGGUGCCUUCCGAGUUCCCUGGAACGGGACGCCACAGAGGGUGAGAGCCCCGUAUGGUCGGACACCAAUCCUGUGUAAAGCUCCUUCGACGAGUCGAGUAGUUUGGGAAUGCUGCUCUAAAUGGGAGGUAAAUCUCUUCUAAAGCUAAAUACCGGCCAGAGACCGAUAGCGCACAAGUAGAGUGAUCGAAAGAUGAAAAGCACCUUGAAAAGGGGGUUAAACAGUACGUGAAAUUGUUGAAAGGGAAGCACUUGUGACCAGACUUGGGCCGGGCGGCUCAUCAGGGGUUCUCCCCUGUGCAUUCCGCCCGGUACAGGCCAGCAUCGGUUCUUACCGGGGGAUAAGAACGGCAGGAACGUGGCUCCCUCUCGGGGGAGUGUUAUAGCCUGCCGUACGAUACCCUGGCGGGGACCGAGGUUCGCGCUUCCGCAAGGAUGCUGGCGUAAUGGUUACUAGUGACCCGUCUUGAAACACGGACCAAGGAGUCGUCCAUUAGAGCGAGCGUUUGGGUGUAAAACCCGCACGCGUAAUGAAAGUGAAAUUAGGUGAGAGCUUCGGCGCAUCAUCGACCGAUCCUGAUGUUCUCGGAUGGAUUUGAGUAAGAGUUUUAACGGACGGACCCGAAAGACAGUGAACUAUGCUUGUAUAGGGUGAAGCCAGAGGAAACUCUGGUGGAGGCUCGCAGCGGUUCUGACGUGCAAAU